AUUGAACGCUGGCGGCAUGCCUUACACAUGCAAGUCGAACGGUAACAGGUCUUCGGAUGCUGACGAGUGGCGAACGGGUGAGUAAUACAUCGGAACGUGCCCGAUCGUGGGGGAUAACGAAGCGAAAGCUUUGCUAAUACCGCAUAAGAUCUACGGAUGAAAGCAGGGGACCGCAAGGCCUUGCGCGAACGGAGCGGCCGAUGGCAGAUUAGGUAGUUGGUGGGAUAAAAGCUUACCAAGCCGACGAUCUGUAGCUGGUCUGAGAGGACGACCAGCCACACUGGGACUGAGACACGGCCCAGACUCCUACGGGAGGCAGCAGUGGGGAAUUUUGGACAAUGGGCGAAAGCCUGAUCCAGCCAUGCCGCGUGCAGGAUGAAGGCCUUCGGGUUGUAAACUGCUUUUGUACGGAACGAAAAGACUCUUUCUAAUAAAGAGGGUCCAUGACGGUACCGUAAGAAUAAGCACCGGCUAACUACAUGCCAGCCGCCGCCGUAAGAC
rnacentral:rRNA from 1 species